CUACUGUAUGUUCCUGGAUUGGGGGUGGCUGCGGUGCAUUAGCUGGUGGAGGCUGCAGGCAGUCCUCGGUUGCCCAGGAAACACAGAUGGUGGAUGAAGGGUGCGCAUACAAAAGAGCAUAAACCUGUAGCAGCAGCUGGACACCGAGAGCGCCGAUUAAUUCCGAUCCGCGCAGUCAAAGAAGUCGCUGUUCUCAUUAAUACCUCCACUUCACGGUCUUUGUCCCGAGGCUUCCGUCUCCACUUUAUCCCGUCUUGCCUGGACCGGACUCCCGUCAGUGCGCAGCUGUUGUUGGCACUCCCACAUCUGCCUCCUCUGCUCGGCGGCCAUGGAGGCUGCAGGACGCGGCUCGUGUACGGCAGAGCGAGUCGGUGCUGAGGCCGAUAUCACGGCGCUCACACGACGGAGAUUUGUAGGCUGAGAUGGUUGAAGUCACCACGAAGAAGCAGAGGAAGAAGAAGAAGAGGAGGAGGAAGAAGAAGAAAAAUGCGAAGAAAUAGCGAUGCAUCCGAUGCUGCAGGACAGGUGCAUGUGGAACAGCAGAUCACUGGUAACCUUGUGGUCAGUGUUGCAUGAACUGGAUUCAUCCACCAUGUCACCAGCCAGGACUCUGGGAGGAUCCAAAUGGGAGCCGACAGCAGGACAGGUUAUGUGUACAGGCUGGAUUAUCUUUAUUACAAUCACCGGGGAGGGUAAUUUUCAGAUCAGAUGAAGAAUUUAAUAGCAUUUUCUCAGCUAGCUUGAUAACUGAUAUCAGUGAAGUCGAUCUCAAGUGACUUAAAUCUUUUUAGCUAAGGGGGCAUUUGAGUCUCUUUUGUCUCAGGUUGAAUAAAAAAAAACUGUGAGGACAAACAAUAAAAUGAAAGAGCAAGCAAUCCUCGGGGUAUCUUGGGAGGACAGUUGGGUUGCGUCCCACUUUUCUGCUGCUUUGUGUUAUGUGUUCUUCUCCAGUUACACCGAUGAAAAAGCAGAUCGGGGUUUCACAGGACCUCAUUGUGCUCCUGGUGGCAUCGCUCCAUCGCCCUCUGCCGUGCCGCCUCUCUCUCUGCGACGGACACAUGGUGCCAAUACUGCUGCCAUCAGAGGAAGAGAAUCCACGUUUCCCCAACGAGAGACGACUUCUGCUGCUUUUGUGUAUCAGUGAAAACUUAAAAGUGCCGCCGCUGCUUUGUAGUCGCCGUCAUUGUGGUCAGAUUUAGCAGGAAGGUGGUGUUCAACAAUCGUUUGCUGCAGUGUUUUGUUCCUACGCCUCUCAGACAUAUAUAUUUUCCUUGGCUGUGAGUCACACUGAUGUCCACCCCCCUCUCCUUUUCUUUCUUUUUUUGUUGCUGAUCAAAAACAGACACUGUAGCCACAGAGCACCUCUCACACUUGUUUUCUUCAGCUGCUGAGUGCAGUGACCUCUUCACUCUGUUACCUUAGUUACUCCUUCUAACGCUUUGAUCGCUUCUCUCUGUGGGAGACAUGUUUCACUAGAAAUGCUGUUUUAACAAUGCUGUCUUGUGUCUGCCAGAUCCAAACCUGGAAAGCUCUGAUAUUUUAAGCCUGUAAUGAGAAAAAAAGCUGCAAAACUGUGAGCAUGAGUAGUUUUCUCACAUUAUAAUAAUGUGUGAUUCACACAGUAUGCUUUCGUUUGUCUUGAAACCUCUUAAGACUGGGUGUGAUGCCCACUAUUUUUAAUGUACUAUUCACAACUCGUGUGUUUUUACUGUAGUGUGUGUGUGUGUGUGUGUGUGUGUGUGAGUGAGGGGGUGGGGGGUGGGGGUUGGGGGUGUCUGUGCGAGUGCAUGUGUUUCUUUGCAUGUACUCGAUUUGUGUAUGUGUUUGUACCAGUAUGUGUGCAUGUGUAUCACGUCAGUCUGAUAAAAUGUAUUCGUAAUGGGCCUGAAGCUGAAGCUGAAGCUAUAAGCUGCUUUUUCAGUGAUUUCUUUCAUACUUUCCAACUUUUAAUACAUUCUUUCAGCCUCUGGAUGUACCAGAUAAGGGAUAAAACAUUAUUUGCAAAUGAUUCUUAGCAUUUGUUACAGCCUCAUUGAAGUGCCGGUUAUUCCUGUGAUUUAGAUCACAGGAAUAGCGCUGGAAAUUAAUGGUGUGUAGUUUUCUAAAUGAUGCCUGCUGGCAUAAAUUAAGCUGCCCUGAUGACUGCAGCCCCGUCAUUUAACACUUAAGUAAAUUGCAGCAAAUGCUAAUAAUUAUGUGUAAAUAGCUUUUUACCCAUGUGUGAAUUCUACUAACCGUAUCUCACUAAUAUCUAACAGUACUAAUGUCUGCUAACAGCUGGAGGAUUACUAACCUGUAAUGAGAAUGCUGAUGGCUGGCAUUUCUAACCCACUAACUAACCCUCUGCUUUAUGCCGCAGUCUGAUGCACAUACUCCUCUCUCAUGAUCCUGCAAUCCUUCUUUCAGACAUGCCCAAUUUAGCUCAAUUAUUCAAGAAGAAAGUGAAUGAAAAAUGCUCCUUUGUGCAUGUCAAGAAGGGUUUCAGGACUUUGGGAAGGAAAAAGUUAUUAACCCCAAGAAGAAAAGAGGAGCGGUAACAGCUGCUGAUGUCGAACUGGGUUGACCACACACUGAAGAAGAAUCUCUACUAAACUGAUUAUGAUCCGACCCAUCGCACUUCAUAGGAUAAAUUCCCAUCUUCAGAGACCAGCUUUUUGUGUCUGUGUGUGUCCUGUGUGGUCAACCUUUGCAGGUGAGUGCCUGGCUUGUCGCCCCAGGUAGCUCAGUGAGACAGAAGCCAAGCAAACCUACGCUCCGAUACUAACUCCUUACGGUGUGGAUACUAACAGUGGUGAGGCUGCAGAGGUCCACCUGUUGCUCUUACUAACAUCUUUGUGUUCUUUGAUGAGCAUUGAAUUGAUCAAAGCAUGCCUUACUGUACCAGUGAUGUUCAUUCAAUGACACUACAAUGGAAGCUUUCAUCCAAAAACAUCUUCUAGUGUCAGAAGUGUGUGUUUGUUUUUAGCACUGGUGAGUCUUAGUAAGAACAAUAGAAGUCCUUAUAUCUAAAUAUAGAAUGUUAAAUUAACAGCUACUAACCUGAAGAGCUUCUAACUGCUCUCUGAAAACUAACAAACUAACCUACUAAUAAACUAAUAAGCUAACAAAAACUAACUAGAAUCACUAACUCUGGGCUCAGUGGCAGAAUCAGUGAGGCACCCUGAAUCUGAGGAGCUGCGUCACUUAUUGGAUGCACUAACAGGGUUAAAUUUAUAGGAGUUAUGCUUGAAUGUGUGUGUGAGUGAGAGAAGCCUGUGUGUGUCUUGGUACAGAAUAGGAGUGGAAAUGAAAACAAAUUCCAAACCGGUUGAGUGGCCACCUGAAUUUGUGCUCAUAAACCAUAAUUUACAUACCAGUGCAGUUAUAUUUAGAGAGGUUUAUCCUCAGAGGCUCUUUCAUCUUUGGUGAGCUUCGGGAUAUGUGUGAAAUACGACAAACACUGUAUGCAAAUAUACAUGUAAAGGACAUUUAAAUCAAUGUGCGCAGCCAUUUUUGUACUUAAUUGUUCAUUUAUCAGUUGUCUUUAUCAUUGUUAUAAACAAUUUUUACAUAGAAAUAAAGCCUGUUUUUAA